rnacentral:rRNA from 1 species
UACGUAGGGGGCAAGCGUUGUCCGGAGUUACUGGGCGUAAAGGGCACGCAGGCGGUUGUGUCAGUUUGCGGGGACAGUGGGUGGCUUAACUGCCCAAGGGUCGCAAAGACGGCACGACUGGAGGGCGAGAGAGGGACCUGGAACUCCGGGUGGAGCGGUGAAAUGCGUAGAGAUCCGGAAGAACACCACUGGCGUAGGCAAGGUCCUGGCUCGUAUCUGACGCUGAGGUGCGAAAGCUAGGGGAGCGAACGGG